GGCUUCAUAGCUCAGUGAUAGAGCGUUGCACCGGAAUCGCAAAGGUCAUGGGUCCGAAUCCCGUUGGAGCCU
rnacentral:tRNA from 1 species